CCAAUAGCGUAUAUUAAAGUUGUUGCAGUUAAAAAGCUCGUAGUUGAAUUUCGGGAUCAAUAUGUCGGUCGUGCCUUCGGUACGUACUGGUAUCAUUGGUCUCUCCUUUCUGACGAACCAUGAUGUCAUUAAUUUGGUGUUAUGGGGAGUUAGGACUGUUACUUUGAGAAAAUUAGAGUGUUUAAAGCAGGCUUUAGCUUGAAUACAUUAGCAUGGAAUAAUGAAAUAGGACGUUCGAACCUAUUUUGUUGGUUUCUAGGAUCAACGUAAUGAUUAAUAGGGAUAGUUGGGGGCAUUAGUAUUCAAUUGUCAGGGGUGAAAUUCUUGGAUUUAUUGAAGACUAACUACUGCGAAAGCAUUUGCCAAGGAUGUUUUCAUUAAUCAAGAACGAAAGUUAGGGGAUCGAAGACGAUCAGAUACCGUCGUAGUCUUAACCACAAACUAUGCCGACUAGGGAUCGGAUGAUGUUAAUUUUUUAAUGACUCAUUCGGCGCCUUACG
rnacentral:rRNA from 1 species